UGUAACACUUUGAUAUUAGGUAUCACUUGGUUGUAACAUUUUGAUAUUUUGUUUUUUAAUUUUUUUUUUCUUAUCAACACCGGUUACCUGAUUCAAACAUUCAAUCGACCCUCGUGUAACCCAACUUUCUUCCUCCUCGUAUUUCUCCCUUCCUCGGCUUCUACUGCACCUCCUUUCCUUGGCUUCCACCACUACCUUCUUCUCAUUCCCGGUGCUCCAUCGUAGCCCCCGUCCACCACAGCCUACCUCCAUCGCGACCAGUGUUCUAACUCGAAGAUGUAAACAACAGCCCGUGCUCCAAGCGAAGAGACAACGAUUGCCACCUCCAAAGACAGCGAUUACCACCUAUAAGCGUCCAUCCUAGUCGAUCGCUUCCACCUUAAAUUUUAGCUUGUCAAGAAUCCAAGUAAUUAUGGGCGAAAGAGAUGAAGAAAUCAAAGGCAAUGCCAAUUAUAAUUAGAGGAAUGGUGUUUGAUAUUCAAGCUACUGUUGUUAAUUCCUGCUGCUGCCAAAACUACCACUCUUGGAAAGGAACUUACCAUGGUUAAAGAUAGGGUAAAUAAGAACAUGUGUAACUCCUUAAAUGAGAUUGCACUAGUGGUUGAAAUCCCGUCUUCUUUUCAUGAUGCAUUAUCUAAAGCAAGGAGCUGUUUACUGCUAUUACUGGUGCCGUUGAUGUCACUGUUACCGCUGAAUAUUGCUGGUGUUAUUGCUGUUAUGGUUGUUUGCUGUUAACUGAUGUCUGCUGUUGUAACAAAUGUCUACUGCCACUGCUGUUAUGGUUGUCUGCUGCUACUGCUGUUAUGGUUGUCUGCUGCUACUGCUGUUACGGUUGAAUUGCAAGCUGCUGCUGCCUUCGGUUACUACUGAUGACGGUUUGCAAUUGCGCUGAUUGUCGUUAUGCUCUUCUGCACCAUUGAGUUGUUUCUCUUGGGCUAUUCUUUGAAUCAAAUCUAGUUUUGCCAAAGCAAGAAUACUUUGUGGAAAUGAGUUAGUUCACACGAAGUCUGAUUCAAUUAAGGUAUCUUAGGGAUUAUUUUUGUUGAUCAUAUACAAUAUGUUUGAGUUUGCUUUCUUUUUGUCCAUGUAGUGCGGACACUCAAGAUUAAAGUGAGGGUUUGUAUGGUUUUGAUGACUGCUGCCGAAAAAGGUACUUGUUAAAAAUUGUAACUUGGGAUAAGUCACUGCAUCCAGCAGCUCCAAAGCAUGCCGUGAGAAACAAUAAAGGGAUCCUCUAAAUUAAAGGCAUGUACAGUUUUAAUAUUUGAGGGAUUUUGAUCUCAUUUCGCCUUAUUAUUUUUCUCAAUGUACUUAUUACCAGUUUGUUGGUAGGUUCCUUGAGUUAAGUGAAACAUUAAGGUCUGGAACAACACCCAAGUUUCACAAAGCCGCUAUACUAACUGAUGCUAUUCGGCAAGUAAAGCUGUUACGUGAAGAAACUUGUAACUUAACUAGCCAAAAUGGCGAAUUAAAAGAAAAGAUUAAUGAAUUGAAGGUUCUGACUCUUUUAUAUUUGCUUUGAUCUGUAAGCUUUGAACAAAUUAAGGAUUUUACAUCAACCUGCUAGCCAAUAAUCUCACAAAUCAGCCCUAAUACCAAAUAAUACUUUGUAUAUUAUUUGAUUCCUUAAUCUCUUACUGGUAGUUCUGUUUAUCAAGGAUGGUGAUGUCUAAACUAUCUGCACAUUGUACUAAUGCAGGCAAAGAAA